rnacentral:rRNA from 1 species
UAUUGGACAAUGGGGGGAACCCUGAUCCAGCGACGCCGCGUGAGUGAAGAAGUAUUUCGGUAUGUAAAGCUCUAACAGCAGGGAAGAAAGAAAUGACGGUACCUGACUAAGAAGCCCCGGCUAACUACGUGCCAGCAGCCGCGGUAAUACGGAGGGGGCAAGCGUUCUCCGGAUUUACUGGGGGUAAAGGGAGCGUAGACGGCAGCGCAAGUCUGGAGUGAAAUGCCGGGGCCCAACCCCGGAACUGCUUUGGAAACUGUGCAGCUCGAGUGCAGGAGAGGUAAGCGGAAUUCCUAGUGUAGCGGUGAAAUGCGUAGAUAUUAGGAGGAACACCAGUGGCGAAGGCGGCUUACUGGACUGUAACUGACGUUGAGGCUCGAAAGCGUGGGGAGCAAAC